GAGGUAGUGUGUUUCAUUUCAACCAAAACCAAAGCUCUUCUGUGGUUUACCAACUCUAACAAUGGUUCUUUUUGGCUUAAUUACCGCUAUAGCACUUGUCCAUAUACAGCAGGUACAGACAAUAGAGGUUCAGCAUGUACAUCUUGGAGGCACAGUCUCUUUGGUCUGUAAUCUGACAUCUUUUUACAACGUGGCCUGGUUCAAAGAAAACCCGUACAGACCCCCAACUUUAGUGGUCUUCAUCAACCUCAGAAAAGGAGACAUGGUUUAUGGUUACCAGGCUGAGCCCCGUUUUACAGCGGAGUUUGUGCACCGCACUCUUACCAUCACUGAUAUCACUGAGAAUGACCUGGGCUUGUAUUUCUGUGCGGUCUGUUUGAACACAGAGUUGCUGAUAGGAUCGGGAAUCAUAAUUCAAGGUCCUUUCCACUUUGGCUUCUAUCACUGGUACUGCUCAGCUGUGGGUGGUGGAUUGCUGUUUAUGGUGGUUUCUGUUUGUGUGGUUCACUGCAAAACCAAAGAUCACAGAAAAAAUCCGCUCAUUGAAGAACAAAAGGAUCAAAACAACAGUGACAUAUAUGCAGUUCCUCACCAGCAGACCCAGGCAAUUCUACAUGUCCACAUUUAAGAGAAUAUUGUGUAAAAUCUUGAUAUCGCAAAACUCUGACAAAGUCUUUUUGCUUGUGUGUACUCCUUUGUAAACUAUUAUAUGUUUUGAAAUACCACUGGAUUAUUUUAAUUUCAACAUGUUUUUUUCAACAUGCUUUUUUAGUUGUGUGUAUAUGCUGAUUGUUGUUAUAAUAUGCUAUCACCUGUGAAGUGCUUGAAACAAUGUCUCAGUCAACAUGUGUCUUAGAAACGGGGUAUUAGUCUAUGCUCAAAA